rnacentral:rRNA from 1 species
GACGAACGCUGGCGGCGUGCUUAACACAUGCAAGUCGAGCGGUAAGGCCUUUCGGGGUACGCGUGCGGGGAACGCGAGCGUAUCACUAGGGCGAUCUGACCUGCACUUCGGGAUAGGCAUGGGAAACUGGAACUAGUACCAAAACUGACCUGCUAUCGCUGCGUGAGGGGGGGAGAGAUUUAGCGGUGCGGGAUGGGCCCGCGGCUUAUCAGCUUGUUGGUGGGGUAGUGGCCUACCAAGGCCACGACGGGUAGCCGACCUGAGAGGGUGACCGGCCACAUUGGGACUGAGACACGGCCCAGACUCCUACGGGAGGCAGCAGUGGGGAAUAUUGCACAAUGGGCGAAAGCCUGAUGCAGCGACGCCGCGUGAGGGAUGACGGCCUUCGGGUUGUAAACCUCUUUCGCCUGUGACGAAGCGCGAGUGACGGUAAUUGGAGAAGAAGCACCGGCUAACUACGUG